rnacentral:rRNA from 1 species
UACAGAGGGUGCAAGCGUUAAUCGGAUUUACUGGGCGUAAAGGGCGCGUAGGUGGUAAAGCAAGUAAGAUGUGAAAGCCCUGGGCUUAACCUGGGAAGUGCAUCUUAAACUGCUUAACUAGAGUAUGGUAGAGGGUAGUGGAAUUUCCGGUGUAGCGGUGAAAUGCGUAGAGAUCGGAAGGAACGCCAGUGGUGAAGACGACUACCUGGACCAAUACUGACACUGAGGCGCGAAGCGUGGGAUCAAACAGG